CCUACGGGAGGCAGCAGUGAGGAAUAUUGGUCAAUGGGCGCGAGCCUGAACCAGCCAAGUAGCGUGAAGGAUGACUGCCCUACGGGUUGUAAACUUCUUUUAUAAAGGAAUAAAGUGAGGCACGUGUGCCUUAUUGCAUGUACUUUAUGAAUAAGGAUCGGCUAACUCCGUGCCAGCAGCCGCGGUAAUACGGAGGAUCCGAGCGUUAUCCGGAUUUAUUGGGUUUAAAGGGAGCGUAGACGGGUUGUUAAGUCAGUUGUGAAAGUUUGCGGCUCAACCGUAGAAUUGCAAUUUGAACUGGCAGGCUUGAGUACAGUUGAGGUAGGCGGAAUUCGUGGUGUAGCGGUGAAAUGCUUAGAUAUCACGAAGAACUCCGAUUGCGAAGGCAGCUUACUAAACUGCCACUGACAUUGAUGCUCGAAAGUGUGGGUAUCAAACAGGAUUAGAUACCCUGGUAGUC
rnacentral:rRNA from 1 species